CGCAACGAUUAGAACUGAACCCCAAUAAGCUACCCAAGAGAAACAGUGAGCUUUUUAAGGGGCUCAGAAGUCAGAGAAAAGAAUCAGAACACAGGGAAUACAUGUUCUGGAACAAGAGGACACAAACACCAGCUUAGCAACUGCAGCAAGUACAAUGAACCAGCCAGACCACCGGACAAGGUCAGAGUGAUGUGCAGAACAGAGGAGGAAGAUGCAAGCCCCGAGGCUUGGCACCCCAGCUGCCUAAGCCAAGUCCUCAGGCAGUGAGGGAGAUGGAGAGCCAACAUGACAGAUACCCAGACUUCAGAGAGGGAAAACAGCAUGGUCAAAAUGACAACUGAGAAUACGGUGGCCAGCCUUGGUCAGAAUAGUGCUGACCUGUGCAGAGGAUAAACAUCAUCAUCAUAAGAAGCAGUAAUCCAAGAAGGUUUGCAACUGGCUCAAAAUGCUACCUGAAACCAAGAAUGGGUACUGUAAUGAAAGAAUUGGAAGCCACCUUGACCCAGAG